AUGUUCUGUAUGUACAGAAUACAUAUGAUUAGUAGAGAAAACACUGUUAAAUUCAGAUAUAAAUGACUUCAUACACAGAAAAGUGGUAAAUUUUAUUGAUAUUCUGAUUAAAUAUACAUUCUGAUUUGCUGAGCUUCAUCUCUAUAAAGAAGCUACUGAUCUCAGACACUGUAUAAAAGUGUAAAUCAACAGUCUAAAUAUUAUGCACAGUCUAUACAACUAGAUCUAACUUUAUAAUAGAUAAAAAAAGAUUAUAUACACAUAUGUAUGAGUGAAUAUAAGUGUAAGAAUAUAGAAAACUAAUAAAGAAAAGCAAGAGCUUUGUAUAUACGCUAUUCAAUAAAAAUGAAAUUGUUGUAAUGGAGA
rnacentral:sRNA from 1 species